AAUUUAGGAGAAAUCAGAGGGCUCAUGUGAUAAAUAUCUAUAUAUAUAUAUAUAAGUGUGCGAAAGUGGGGAGGAAGCUUCCUCCCCCUGAUAUUUUGAAAUCAAAUGCAGAGAGCCGAGAGGGAGCUCGGGAAGUAGAGGAGAGGGAGAUCGCGCGAGGGAGAAAUGAAAGAGUGUGAGGCGAGAGAGAGCAAUGCGAGAACGAGAGAGGAAGGAGAUAGCUGGUGGCUGGAAGAAGAAGCCGCUGUGAUGGCGGCCAUGGCCGACGCGAGGCAGAGCAGAAGCGGACCAGUGAGGGGUGCUGAGGAGCUCGUGGAGGCUGGAGGCGAUGCUGGCUCGCGAUGGCGCACGAGAGCUAUUUGGGUGCGUCGAUGGCUAGCCAAGCAGCCAGCGAUGAUGGCAGCGGCUGAAGCUUCUGCAAUGGCGUCUUGAAGCUGCAAGGGUCGACGAUAGCAAGUGGCUGGUGCGAGCGAGGAGUCACAGGAGGUCGUUGGGGUGCUGCUCGCAGCGGCUGGAGGUCGAAGGCAGUGUCGAUCUUGAGGCGAUGGUGGCCGAAGGUGUGGCUGCGACUGGUUGUCGCGGCCAUGGCUGCAGCGUGGGGUUGGGCAGCAGCGCGGCUGCUGUGCGCGCGAGAGGCCGGCGGGGGUUGCUGCUCACGAUGGCAGCGGCGCGACAACUGGAGGUGGCCGGAGGCAAUGGCAGCUCGAGCAGGGUCGGUGGCCGGUUGAGUUGGGCGCGCGCUGGAGGUUGAAGGAGAUGAACAGUGCGCGCAGGAAGUGGAAAAGAAAGGAGGAAGAAGAGAAAGAAAAUAAGGAGAAAAGAAAAAAAGAAAUAAAGGAAAAAAGAAAUAAAGAAAAUUUGGGAAAAAUCUGGAAAAAUAGGAAGAAAUUCCAAAAAAAUUCUAGAAAAAGUCUGAAAAUUAUUUGGGGACACGAGGAGCGUGUCAGAGGCUUGAGAUCGAUAUUUUUGGUGCAAGUGGCAGCUCGAGAACCAACGCCGGUGUGGGCGUCUGAUCGGUUUUCUUCUCCAAAUUAAUCAAGGUUCGACCGGAGGGACGGUGAUCCUAGAAGAACUUGAGAUUCAGGCUAGAAUUCAUGCCGAGGCAAAGAUGAAGCUUCGAGCCAGGUAAGGGACGGCCCCAGGUGGAGGUGGCCUUGCAAGUUGGUAAAUAUGUUUGGUAAUGUUUUUAUGUUGCAUUGGCAUGUAGUGGUUAUAUCUUGUGUGAUGCAAGACCUAGUGGACCUAUGGCCAUAUGGAGGACUAGUGUGGUGGGGGCUGAUAGGUUGAUGCCUCAAACCUUAGUGGGUUGUGAGGAUGUGUGAGCCUAGCCUCAUUUGCAUGCAUUUGGCAUACAUAAACAUGAUUAUAUUCAUAUUUACAUGCAUUGCACCCUUACUGAGUCUUUAUGACUCAUGAGGUUUUACCUGAUGUGUAGAUGAUGCAAGCCCAGAUGCAAGCCGGGAUGGUGCCGGGAGACUGUUAUGGAAAUUAGCUUGUUGCCUGAGUUGUGUUGUUGUGUAAUCUCCUGUAAAUUUUAUAAGUAUUCAUGUAAUUGAAUGUAAACGAUAUUGAGCUCUAGAUGUAUUUAAUUAUUGAAAUCACCGUAGUGUGAUAAAGGAUUGUGAGAUUGUUCGUGAUAUAUGGCUUAGUUGGAGAAGCCGAGUUCAGACCGAGACAGGAUCAGCAAGGUAUGUUCUCAUAAAUCCCCAAUACUCAGCAAAGUGUUUAUAUGCUAGCUUAUGCCUGGGUCACCUCUGGCUUGCUAUGGGGUGAGCUGAAGAGAGGUGAAGCUCACUCGGGUUUCGGGUCUUGGUCCGCUGGACUUUUCUUAUUUGAGUUGGGACCGAUUCCUGAGUGGAGCGAAGGGAAGGACAAAGCCUAGUUCCCACCUAGGGCGUUUCCUGUUGAAACAUAGUCCAACCCUUCAGUUGUGGUUGUCGGGUGAGUAAUCCGGUUGAUUAUUUACCGGUGGCGCCCGUAAGUGGGAGCGGGUCGUUACAGUUGGUAUCAGAGCAUGGCUAGCUAUAUAAGUGAGGAAGGCUAGCGUGCUUAAGUGUUAAGUGUGGUCGGUUAAGUGAUUAAUGUGAGUAAUUGCCGGAGUUUUGGAAUAGAGGAUGUCUGGCAUGAUUCGAAGUAAGUCGAAUGUCUUAACUGCUGAGUUGGGGUCGAGAACAAUCGAUUUGAAAUUUUAAAAUUUCAAUGUAAGAUUGGUCUGAUAACCUUGAAAGUUGGACAUGUGGACCGAGGACCCUAAGGGAUUGGGUCAAGUUAUUGAGGCCUGCAAUGGUAUGUUUGGAUAUUCCUGUUCUUGGGAUGAGAAAAUACCCUGGAUUGAGAAGCUAUACCUGUGAGAGGUAUACGGGUUGAGCAAUGAGGAACCGAAAACCCAAGUGUGGGUGCGGUGUCAAGAAACUCGAGUUUAUGAAUUUUGGGUAAUAUUAAGUGUUCUAGGGAUGAGCACUUCUUGAAGUUGAAGUGUCGAGGCUUGUGUGGGGACACGAAGCCGAGGCAUGACUAAUCCGAGAAGGGAUUAGUAGAGCAUCCUUAUGCCAGGGGUUGCCGAGCAUGUUCGAGGGAAUAGAGUUGUCCCUUGGAAGUGGUGCAGUAAGGCUUAUACGCUUGAGAUAGAGUGAGCUAAAGUGGAAGAUAGCUCGGGACUCAAGGAUAUGAGACGUUAGUGAGGAUUUAUGGAGAGUAUGCGUGUAAUGCAUCAGUAUGUCAUGGCUAGUGAAAGCAUGACGUAAGCAAAAUCCGGAAGGACUCUGAGGAAAGUCGGGAUGCUAGAUAAAUGUGAUCGUAUUGUUAUGAUGAUCCCAAAGGGGAUGUGCCUAGGGUAUGAGUAGACCCUAUUUGGCUUCUUGAUGAGACAAGGUCUAUCCUUGGGAAUGAUGGACGUGUGGCAAGUGGACCCUAGCUGGUGUUUGCAUGAGAAGAAAGUCUCAAGUGAGUCGAGCUGGAAUCCAGGGAAAUCCAGAUUGGGGAUUAAAGAGUUGGUCAUGUGUUGAUAUGCGCGUGAGAGCCAUUGGAUUAGAAGUCCUAGUUAUGUAGGGCCAAGUGACCGUUCAUGUGAUUGAUGGAUGAGGGGCCAAUCAAAACUCUCAUUAUGACGCUUGGGGUCUGGUGGGACGCCUAAGGUCGGGAGAUGAGAGGUGAAUAGACCCUCAUUAUGAUGCCUGGGGUCGUGAUGACGCCUAAGGUCUCGAGACCCUUGAUGGGAGACGAGGAGGUCACCCAAUGAAGGGUAUGAACGGGUAUGUGGGCCUAGGCUGAUGAGUUGUGGUAACAGGACAUCCAUAGGCAACGCGCGCAAUGGAAAUGCCAACUUCGGAUGCCAAUGGGCAGGGGCAUGGUGAGCAAUGAGGAGGCCCCGAACUUUAAAUUCCAAGUCAUGGGAGCCUGAGCGAGGCGUGCAAGGCCAGGCCGGGCGUAGUGACUGAAUGCAUUCAUGAGUGUGCAAGGAGAGGCGAGAGGUCUCGAUUUACCUAGAGGGUAAAGGUAGGUGCUCGCUGGUUAUGGGUACCGGAGCUUGAGAUAGGCUCAGCAUGUUAGUUGUUGUUUGAGAGUCUCUUAAGCGAUAAGAAAUGUAGAGUCCUAAGGAGUAAGGCUUCUGGUAUGAACUUGCGGUUAUCAAGGCAAGGAUAAUCAAGUAUGAUGGCUUGGUAGGAUGGUAGCGGAACCAUCGUAGCUCGGGAAGGCUUUAAGUAGCCUAGAUGCUAAGGGUGCAAGGCUCGAUGGGACGAAUCUAAUGCUAUGGACCGUGUGGCAGAGGACUAAUGAGUCGGCUCGUGUUGAGGGCAAGUGGCCCAUGGGCCUGAGCAAUUUAGUGAACUGCAAGUGAUGGUCAAAUGCCAAAGAUUUGGAGCAGCACCCUAGGAAAUCUGGUCAGGUGAGACUGAGAAUCUCCUGCUAGGGAUAGGACAUCUAGAGUAGUCCUAGGGAGAAAUCGUGGAACGCGAAAAACGUUCUAAUGGUUUAGUUGCCGAGUAGGAAACUUGGUAGGGCGAAGCUACGGGUGCGACGCAAAUUAGUGAUGGGCCGAGCCAUGCUGUUGCAAACUGUUGUUGGGCCAGUGUAUGGGAGCAACACGGUAAUGAUGAUUAGGUGUUGGCUCUCCGAAGCACAGGGCAACACGAUGGGGAACCAGUGUUGGGCCAGUGUAUGGGAGUGACACGAUGAUAGUGAUCAGGUGUUGGCUCGCCUAAAGCACAGGGCAACACAGUGAUUAUGCAGAUGGUCAGGGGCUAAAGAUUUGUGAAAUGCGGUAGGGUGACGAAAGUUGUGGCCAGUGCCACAAUUCAACUGCUAGUAAUAAGAGUUGUCAGGGUGUUGCACCCAAGUGGGGUUUAAGCCCUUUAUCUCGUUAAAGUAGUGUCAAGGCGAUUUAGCGAAGUGGUUUAGCUAAUGUUUGGGUGUUGUAGCGCUUCGAGAUGUUUGAGAAAGAAACCCAGGGAAAAGAAACGGGUCUAGCGUGGGAAUAACGCUACAGUUGAUGCCUACGGUUGACGGGUCUAAUGCCAAGGACCACUGGAUAUAGACGGUUAGUUCACGGGAGGGACUGCAGCCCUCUAUGUGGAGUAACCUGUCUGCGGUGGAGACGAUUAGACGUGAAGACCUGGGGUAUGCUGUAGGUUAUGUCUGGGCCAAACCUAAAUUUCCGUGAGGGUUGAAAAAAAAAAAAAAAAAAAAAAUCACCGUAGUGCCUUUUGUUGUCUUGGCAGCAGGAAGAUUUGUGAAUUGAUUGGGUGAUAUCCUGUGGUAUGAAAACGAGAUGCGUGGCAAUGCUCCUUGUUAAAGGAUGCUAACGCAGUUGUGGUUAAAUUGAUCGCAAUUGAUCGAAUAAAUUGAGAUGAUGGACCCUGUGUGACCUUGCGGUGAUGCAAGAAGAUGGGUCGAUUGGUGAAGUCGUGAAUGGCCCCAGGAUGUUACGUAAGUGCCGUGGAGGGCGAGACUUACGAGUUGGAAACCAACCAUGAGAUGGGGAUAUUGAAGCGUGUAAAGGCUUCGAGUAAAGGGAUCCCUAAUCUUGUGAAGUGAGUUGUGGCAGGCUGAACGUGUGGCUGAGGCGCGGUUUGAAAUUCGUGAAGGCUUGCAAUUGCACGGUCUAGUAUUAGUCCUGAUGUGUCGAUGCAAAAAUGAGGAAAAAUCCUUAUGUAGCACUGGAUGGAUUUCCGGUUGAUGACACAGGAUCAGUUGCCAGGUGGUAGCACCUGAUGGUAAUGGUGAGAGCGUGAGACUCGAAGACUGUGAUGAAAAGCCUUGUUGAUUGACCAUGUACAUAAAGGUUCAGCGGGUCCUGGUGGCUAAACCAGACGAAUUUCGAGAAAGAGAUCCAAGAUUUUAAGAGAUGGUUUGUUGGGGGAAAAAUUGUGCCGCCUAAAGGAAUGCUACUCCGUAAUGAGAGUUAUUAAUGGUGGAGUUGAAAUGUGUCCUAGGUAGAACGUGAGAGGUUCUCCCGAGAAAGGUCGAGCAUAGGGCAAUAACAUUAAAUUGACCUCCUAAGGCACUACCACUCUAACAGGAUGCAUCACCGGGGAAAGCCAGCGUGAUGGCAAGUGCCUGAGUAGGAAUGUGAGUCCUACGACAUCUAGUGGAAGUGUGAGUUCCACAGGAGUAGCAGGGGUGAUGUCCAGUGGGUGGAGUUAAAUCAAAAAUCAUAGUCGAUGAGUGCAAGAGUAGUGCCUGGAGAAAGGUUGUGUUGGUUAUGAGCCGGGCGAUCCGGUUAAAGCUAAUCGAGUUGAUUAGAUGGAAGGUGAAGGCGAAUUUAAGAUGUCACCAAUGGGUGGCUAGAGCUCAAAGGAAGAGCUUGUGGGACGAGAUUGGUUCCCAAGAAUCGUGUAAAAGUGAUGAAAUCACCUGGAAGCUGUGAGUAAUACAGCUAGAGGGAUGCCUUGGAGUUUGGGCAAUUAAGGAGAUUUAACCUCGUGGCUAAAGGUUAACGAUUGUGAAAGGAAAUCAGCUAGUGGAGCCGAUUGGUGACUAGUUGAGGGUGGCUGAUGGUGACCAAAGGCGCCAAUUGGUGAUAGCAGUAGUGGCGAGCGGUGGCUAGCCAUGGUCGUGUUGCGUCGUGAGAGUAGUUAGUCAGUGGCGUUGGUGGAUCUGGAGUCGCGGUUGCGGCUGGAUGUGGCGCUAAGCGAUGGCAAGAGAUCGUCUUAGCUGAUGAUGAUGGCGUUAAGGCUAAUGUGGACGCUCACUAACUGAUGUGAGCUGGUUGUAGCAAAAGUUAUAAGAAACCUGGGAGAAGCCAAAGUUUCUCAGGGAAUAAGCUAGCUACUAUAAGUAUAGCAAAGUGAUUUGUGGAAAAUGGCUUAAGGGUGGGGUCGUGUUUGUUGUGAUGACCAGUAAGAUUCAAGGAGCAGCGAGUCUUUUGAGAUGAUGUGGUGGUGUCAUUGUAGCUGUCAGAGAAUUCAUUGUUGUCAUGGUGUUGUCCCUGCCGAGUAGGACAAAGGGAACCAUUAUCCAUGGUUUAAAUCAGGUGUUUAUCGCAAAAAAAAAAAAAAAAAAAAACCUGAUUUUGGGAUUGUCGAAAAGUUCCAUGCUUCAAGAGUAAGAGGCUUUGUUGAGAAAUGUGAGAUUUAAAAAGUCCUAAGGAAAUUGAAGCUGGGCGAGUAAAUUUGGCUAAAAGACCGCUACAAGAGUAGGGGUGUUACCGUGUUAGCUUGUUGUGGUGCGGACCAAAGGCACAAGUCAUCCUACAAGUGCGAUGCAAUAAGUGAUUGUGCAGAUGGUAAUAAGCCAAUCACUUGUGCCACGCACCGUGGGUGAUGACGAGGGCUGGUUAAUGGUUUCGCGACCUUAAGCGCAAUGGUAGGAUCCUUGACUCGCGGUAGGGUUUAACAGCCAAGGUAAGGCCCAGCAUGGGGCAUGAUUGUGAAGGCCAAAAUGAAGUGAAGAUGUGUAGGGGUUGCUCAAUGAAAAGUUUCCUGUUAUGGGUAUGAGACCUCUACUAGCGUGUGAUAUCGGCUAAUAAGAAGGCCUAAGUACCUCUGUGUGCUUAUGUGAAGAACUCCUGGUUGGGAGAAGGUUGUGGCCCGAGCAUGAUUAAGCUCGAGGUGAGAUUGUAAUAGUGCGUGCAUCGCCAAGCUCGAGUUGGACCCGGGUAAUGCACGUAUGGUUCAAAUGUGAAAUUACCUGACAUGGUGUUAGGUAUAUCGAUUUUGAGUAAUCGUAUCGAUAAAUGAGGGUCAGCUGGUCAAGGUAAUAGAUCAUGUAUGAAAUGGUCGAAAUUGGCUGGGUGAGCCAAAUGGUUGCUUCCCAUGUAGUGUUAGCAUGGUUAGUUGAUUGGUAAUGAGAAGUUGCCAUGAGGAUCAACUCAAGCUGUGCAUGCUUAUGAUUAAUGGCGGUACGCCAUGGUGACAUAGGUGCUAGAGUGUCUUAUUGGCACUAGAAGUGACAUUGCGGCUGAUGGUCGGUGCUAAAACGUUGCUGGUUGGACCAGCGUAAAAAUCGUGGCCAUGUGUGAUUGGCAAUGGGAAACGUUGCCGCGUGGGAUCGGCGUAAAAUCGUUGUAGACUGAUUGGCAAUGCAAUGUUCGCGAGUGUUUAUUUUGAUUGAUGGGAAAAUGGGAAGUAGACAGCAAAGUGAUGCUUCAAAGUAGAGAAAAUUCGUCCAGAAAUGGACAUCGUUGCAGUAAGCAUGACCAACGACUAGUGGUGCAGUUUGGCGAGAAGCCAAGGCGGUAAUCGGUUGAUAAAUGUCCUCGAGAAGUGGAUGACCAAAUGCCUAAGUGAAACCUUGAGGUGAGAAUGACCUGAGGUAAAGGCUGAGAAAUAGUUCGGUUACGAGAUUCUCGAGCUGGGGAUUCGGAGAAUAGCCGGAGAAUGUGAUUACCUUGGGCAAGAGAUUAAGGCAAGGUGAAUUUCGAGGACGAAAUUCUUUAAGGAGGGUGGAAUGUAAUACCCGGUAUUACAUGGUGUUGAAAAUAAAUAAUUUUUGAUUAUUUUGAAAGGAGCUCGGGUGGUCCGGGAAGCCCAAGGGGUCAAUAUCGAGAAAUUAAUUAAUAAAAUUGUCGAAUUGGCAGUUGAGAGUGCCUCAGGACUUGGAUGUCCAGGGAAGAAGGCAAGGUAUUGGUGAGCGUCUCGAGAUGAGGAUAAUGACGUUAGAAGCGGUCCGAUCGGGAAUAAUUUUCGAAAUAAUUUCGGUAGAAGCCCGAGUGGGUGCCAAUACCGAAUAAUCGGAGGGGACCUCCUGGGAGCUGAGGGGACCCUAGGGGUGGUUCGAUUUUCUGAAUAAGGCAAUCCUUAAGUGUUUUUGGAUCGAAUAAAUGUCCUACGCAGGCCCAGGGACAAAAUCGAUAUUCCCGAGUAGGUGUCGGCAAUUAAUUUUAUAGAAAUCAAGUUAUCGUGAGGCUUCAAUGAUAAUUAAUUAAAGUUUAAAGGGCCCAAGAGCAAUUAAUAAAUCUCCCAAGUGUAAUUUAGGAGAAAUCAGAGGGCUCAUGUGAUAAAUAUCUAUAUAUAUAUAUAUAAGUGUGCGAAAGUGGGGAGGAAGCUUCCUCCCCCUGAUAUUUUGAAAUCAAAUGCAGAGAGCCGAGAGGGAGCUCGGGAAGUAGAGGAGAGGGAGAUCGCGCGAGGGAGAAAUGAAAGAGUGUGAGGCGAGAGAGAGCAAUGCGAGAACGAGAGAGGAAGGAGAUAGCUGGUGGCUGGAAGAAGAAGCCGCUGUGAUGGCGGCCAUGGCCGACGCGAGGCAGAGCAGAGGCGGACCAGCGAGGGGUGCUGAGGAGCUCGUGGAGGCUGGAGGCGAUGCUGGCUCGCGAUGGCGCACGAGAGCUAUUUGGGUGCGUCGAUGGCUAGCCAAGCAGCCAGCGAUGAUGGCAGCGGCUGAAGCUUCUGCAAUGGCGUCUUGAAGCUGUAAGGGUCGACGAUAGCAAGUGGCUGGUGCGAGCGAGGAGUCACAGGAGGUCGUUGGGGUGCUGCUCGCAGCGGCUGGAGGUCGAAGGCAGUGUCGAUCUUGAGGCGAUGGUGGCCGAAGGUGUGGCUGCGACUGGUUGUCGCGGCCAUGGCUGCAGCGUGGGGUUGGGCAGCAGCGCGGCUGCUGUGCGCGCGAGAGGCAGGCGGGGGUUGCUGCUCACGAUGGCAGCGGCGCGACAACUGGAGGUGGCCGGAGGCAAUGGCAGCUCAAGCAGGGUCGGUGGCCGGUUGAGUUGGGCGCGCGCUGGAGGUUGAAGGAGAUGAACAGUGCGCGCAGGAAGUGGAAAAGAAAGGAGGAAGAAGAGAAAGAAAAUAAGGAGAAAAGAAAUAAAGAAAUAAAGAAAAUUUGGGAAAAAUCUGGAAAAAUAGGAAGAAAUUCCAAAAAAAUUCUAGAAAAAGUCUGAAAAUUAUUUGGGGACACGAGGAGCGUGUCAGAAGACUUGAGAUCGAUAUUUUUGGUGCAAGUGGCAACUCGAGAGCCAACGCCGGUGUGGGCGUCUGAUCGGUUUUCUUCUCCAAAUUAAUCAAGGUUCGACCGGAGGGACGGUGAUCCUAGAAGAACUUGAGAUUCAGGCUAGAAUUCGUGCCGAGGCAAAGAUGAAGCUUCGAGCCAGGUAAGGGACGGCCCCAGGUGGAGGUGGCCUUGCAAGUUGGUAAUGUUUUUAUGUUGCAUUGGCAUGUAGUGGUUAUAUCUUGUGUGAUGCAAGACCUAGUGGACCUAUGGCCAUAUGGAGGACUAGUGUGGUGGGGGCUGAUAGGUUGAUGCCUCAAACCUUAGUGGGUUGUGAGGAUGUGUGAGCCUAGCCUCAUUUGCAUGCAUUUGGCAUACAUAAACAUGAUUAUAUUCAUAUUUACAUGCAUUGCACCCUUACUGAGUCUUUAUGACUCAUGAGGUUUUACCUGAUGUGUAGAUGAUGCAAGCCCAGAUGCAAGCCGGGAUGGUGCCGGGAGACUGUUAUGGAAAUUAGCUUGUUGCCUGAGUUGUGUUGUUGUGUAAUCUCCUGUAAAUUUUAUAAGUAUUCAUGUAAUUGAAUGUAAACGAUAUUGAGCUCUAGAUGUAUUUAAUUAUUGAAAUCACCGUAGUGUGAUAAAUGAUUGUGAGAUUGUUCGUGAUAUAUGGCUUAGUUGGAGAAGCCGAGUUCAGACCGAGACAGGAUCAGCAAGGUAUGUUCUCAUAAAUCCCCAAUACUCAGCAAAGUGUUUAUAUGCUAGCUUAUGCCUGGGUCACCUCUGGCUUGCUAUGGGGUGAGCUGAAGAGAGGUGAAGCUCACUCGGGUUUCGGGUCUUGGUCCGCUGGACUUUUCUUAUUUGAGUUGGGACCGAUUCCUGAGUGGAGCGAAGGGAAGGACAAAGCCUAGUUCCCACCUAGGGCGUUUCCUGUUGAAACAUAGUCCAACCCUUCAGUUGUGGUUGUCGGGUGAGUAAUCCGGUCGAUUAUUUACCGGUGGCGCCCGUAAGUGGGAGCGGGUCGUUACAUAUACCCCAACUGCUAGCACUAAGUCACACAUCGGGUAGCUUACCUUGUGCCUCGACGUGAUCCACACACGAUCACAAGGUUAUGUUGCAUCAACAUGCAACCCAAUCCUUUGAGCUAUCACAAGCUCUCACUGCAUCCGGCAGACCAUUUUCACUUGACUCUCCUCACGAGUCCUGACAUGGAUAUAACUACUCCAGAAAUUCUCUUCACAAAUCUCUGACAACAGUCUGCCAAUUUCAACAUACUUUCAAUCUUUUCAUAAAUUGCUUAGGGAUCCUAUC